UGCAGUCGAACGUGAAAGCACUUCGGUGUGAGUAGAGUGGCGGACGGGUGAGUAACGCGUGGGAAUCUACCCAGUAGUGGGGGACAACUACCGGAAACGGUAGCUAAUACCGCAUACGCCCUAUGGGGGAAAGGCUUCGGCCGCUAUUGGAUGAGCCCGCGUCAGAUUAGCUAGUUGGUAGGGUAAAGGCCUACCAAGGCAACGAUCUGUAGCUGGUCUGAGAGGACGAACAGCCACACUGGGACUGAGACACGGCCCAGACUCCUACGGGAGGCAGCAGUGGGGAAUAUUGGACAAUGGGCGAAAGCCUGAUCCAGCAAUGCCGCGUGUGUGAAGAAGGCCUGCGGGUUGUAAAGCACUUUCAGUUGGGAAGAUGAUGACGUUACCAACAGAAGAAGCACCGGCUAAAUCCGUGCCAGCAGCCGCGGUAAUACGGAUGGUGCGAGCGUUAAUCGGAAUUACUGGGCGUAAAGCGCGCGUAGGCGGCUAAGUCGGUCAGAAGUGAAAGCCCCGGGCUCAACCUGGGAAUUGCUUUUGAUACUGCUUGGCUAGAGUUUGGUAGAGGAUAGUGGAAUUCCAGGUGUAGCGGUGAAAUGCGUAGAUAUCUGGAGGAACAUCAGUGGCGAAGGCGACUGUCUGGACCAAAACUGACGCUGAGGUGCGAAAGCGUGGGUAGCAAACAGGAUUAGAUACCCUGGUAGA
rnacentral:rRNA from 1 species